rnacentral:rRNA from 1 species
AUUAGCUAGUUGGUGAGGUAAUGGCUCACCAAGGCGACGAUCCCUAGCUGGUCUGAGAGGAUGAUCAGCCACACUGGAACUGAGACACGGUCCAGACUCCUACGGGAGGCAGCAGUGGGGAAUAUUGCACAAUGGGCGAAAGCCUGAUGCAGCCAUGCCGCGUGUAUGAAGAAGGCCUUCGGGUUGUAAAGUACUUUCAGUUGUGAGGAAGGGGGUGUAGUUAAUAGCUGCACAUCUUGACGUUAGCAACAGAAGAAGCACCGGCUAACUCCGUGCCAGCAGCCGCGGUAAUACGGAGGGUGCGAGCGUUAAUCGGAAUUACUGGGCGUAAAGCGCAUGCAGGUGGUUCAUUAAGUCAGAUGUGAAAGCCCGGGGCUCAACCUCGGAACUGCAUUUGAAACUGGUGAACUAGAGUGCUGUAGAGGGGGGUAGAAUUUCAGGUGUAGCGGUGAAAUGCGUAGAGAUCUGAAGGAAUACCAGUGGCGAAGGCGGCCCCCUGGACAGACACUGACACUCAGAUGCGAAAGCGUGGGGAGCAAACAGGAUUAGAUACCC